AGUCAUGCAGGUUGGUCGUGCCACCGGUAUGUACUAGGCUCUUGCUGAUUCCUCCCUCCUGAAGAACCGUAAUGCCAUUAAUUUGGUGUUGCGGGGAAUCAGGACUGUUACUUUGAAAAAAUUAGAGUGUUUAAAGCAAGCUAACGCUUGAAUACAUUAGCAUGGAAUAAUGAAAUAGGACGAUCCGAUCCUAUUUUGUUGGUUUCUAGGAUUGACGUAAUGAUUAAUAGGGAUAGUUGGGGG
rnacentral:rRNA from 1 species